CCCUCGUGGCGCUCCACACACACACACACACGCACACGAGCGCAGCUCAACGCAGACACGCUUUCGCACGCGUCCAUCGAUAUAUACGUAGGCAGGGCAUUCUCACUGCAACGCAGGGGAGGGUAUGUACGUGACGCAGCAGCAUGCGCAGGAGGCAGAAGCGUUAAACGUGCAUCUUCUGGACGACGUGAAUCAGCUUGCCCGGCUGGGACAGUACCUUCCAGCGCAUAUCUUCGGCACAGUUCUGCCUCUGGUAGGCGAUGAGAUUGCAAGCGGUGCGGCGGAGCUGAACGCGCAGGUGGAAGGUACGCGCCAGCUUCUCUUGCAAUCGGCGGUGCUGCGGCGGUCGACCGUGCUGGCCCCACUGUUGAAGCAGCAGCUUGUCACGCGGGCCAUCCAGCUUCAACGACGCCGUGCACAGCUGGUGCAGCAGCUCCAGCGCCAGAUUCGACACUGGCGCUCGGCUCCACCAGGAGUCGGCGCGGCUUCAGUUUCCAGCGGCGGUGGGCCCUACAGACGCGGUGGCCCACUGAGCGGGUCAGCAGCAGCGGACCCUGCGCACACUGGCGAGGGGGCACUGCGCGGGACAUGGGCCACGCUGCGGGAGGCGUUCCGCUUUGAGGAGGGCAAGGCACACCUUGUGCAGGCCCCACUGUGCCCGUCCGCUGCCGCGUUACGCGCGCUUCUGGCCGAGGUGGUGGCGGGGGGCCAGAGCGGGCUGCACCGACGUGUUGUGGAGCAGGUGGCCGGUACCAGCCCGCAUCACGGCCAAAGUCCCACCACAGCCUCCCCCUCCACCGGGGCUCUCGGAAGCUCUCCCAAGGGCGACCGUGAUGCAGACAUGGGCGGCAGCGGCGGCAGUGCCGAGGACGCAAUCGAAGCUGCGCUACAGCUCCUCCUCCGCUACGCAAGGCAGACACGGGCGGAGGAAACGCGGGUCGAUCGCACUGCAGCACGAGGAAGGGCGCCGCGGUCUGGGGCAUCGUUGCCGACGCCUGCUUCGUCGGCGCCUCUCACCGGAGCCACCGCCUUCCAAGCCUCUGAGGUCGAUGGUCGCCUACAAGCUUCAGAUCUGACCGGUGUGUGUAACGUGGACGUGCGCUCCGACGACGCGGAGGAGGACGUUUUUGAGAGCAGCCCAGCUCUCCGGCAUCAGAGCGCCACCACAAGCGCUGAAGCACCAGGUAGCGACGCCGCUUCUCCGACAACACAAACGACCUCUGCCGCAGGGGCGGCACCAGAAGAAGCUUCCAUGUGGCUCCGCGUCCCUGGCAUUCUACCCCUCGGCCAGUACUGCGCGGAGCUACCGUGGGUAGCCGACCUCGCCGACCAGCGGUACACCGAAGCACGGGAGCGCAGGAAGCAUGGCAACGGCGGCGCUGGUGAGGUGGGCUACAUCAGCCGCCAUGUGCAGCCUGGGGAACAGGGCAGCGGCGAGGGUGUGGAAGGUAGGGAGGCGCGCUACGAGGCUGGCUACAUCGCCCCCACCCCCGCAGCCCUGCAGAUGAUGCCGCCAAUCGGCUACCUCUUUGCCCCUGCGUUGGCGGGCGGCUCUGUUGGUAGCGCCUGCAGCAGCGGCGAGUCCGUCGUUGGGCGUGCCAUGCGCCAUGCCGCUGGUGGUGCGGCAGGUGCCCCGGGCGCGGCACCUGCCGACUUCCACGCAGACCGCGAAGGGGCUUCCUCUGCGCAAGAGGAGGAGCGCUCGUGGCUGGCGCGUGUAGUGGUCAAGUGCGUCUCCGCUGCCGUGGAUGCAGCUUGGCAGAAUGUGGAGGAGACCGUGGUGGCGCCUUUCUGCGCUCAGCGGCGCCGUGACUUCUCAUCCCGGGUGCUCUCCGCUAAGGCCGCGCUUGCUGCUGCAGAUACGGGUGCUUCGGCAAGGGGAGGAGAAGCUGCAGACGACGAGGAGGAGGUGAUCACGCAGUUCAUGGAGGUACUGCGCGUGCGCUACGCUGUGGAGCUGGCGGCCCAGGUCUUGGCGGCACGCCACGCCACGGAGCUGCUGCUGGACAGCGAGGACAGCGUGAUCUUUGCCGAAAGGCGCCUCGUUUCAUUAGUGGUCGGCGGCGGUGCUUCUGUGGCAGCUGCGUGCAGCGGGGGCCGCGGCACGGCGGCGGCUCAGCGAGCGUCACCGUCUCCAGCGCCGGUGCUCACCUGCACGGUGCUCAGCCUUCCAGGGGUGAAGGAAAUCUUCUACGUGCUGGCGUACUGCACGGGAGCCGCUCUGCUGUGUGAUGUGGCCGCCGCUGCAGCGGCUUUCGGCGACGAUGUCGGCGGCCGACGGGGAGGCGCAGGUGCGCGACAGCGACAAGAGUACCUGAUGGUGGACGUGGACGCAGAGGAUAACGAGGAGGAGGAUCUGCAGGAGGAAAGACACCCGGGGAAAGACGACAACCGCCUGACUGAUGGCCCUCGACGCGUCCGCUCUCCCUCCGCGGCACAGCGUGCAGACCUUGCCAACGAAGAGGACCCUGUUGCCCGGCGGCAAGCGUCUCUGCAGGCGUGGGCUACGCUCUUCGAGGCCGAGUACCUAAGAGGUUGCCACAACACUGCCGCCUUCGCGGAUGCGCCUUGGUCUGCCGGUCCGGCGUCGGUGUAUUCGUCUUGGUCGCUGGCCCCCUACUACCGUCUGUGGCUGUACAUGUGGGAGUACGUGCUAAUCGUGGAAGCGCCUGCGCCCUCAUCGGCGAAUCCUCUGCACAGCGGCGGCGCCGGUCUCGCUCAGCUUCCCGUUGAAUUGCGCACGGCGCGGCGCUGGAUGGAAAAGGUUAUCCGCGCGUCUGUGAUGCAUGGCUGCGCCGAGGCGGGACUGCUGGUGAGCAGUGCCACGCCGGCGAGCCUCGCAUAUGAGCCAACGGCGUGCCUGCAGGCGCACCUAUCCGCGGAACAGACGGAGCGACUAAUGCAGGCGACAACAGUGCAAGCGCGUCACGCGCUCUUGCAUGUGUCCGGGGCUGGUGGGGGCGCAGGGACAGCAACAUAUCCCUGAUGCUCCCCUGCGUUCGUGCUCGUGGUAGUUGCAGCACACUGUCACCUGGCGAGUAGUGCCACGCUCUGUGUGCUGUGCGAACGUGGACACAUGGGCAGAUGCUGGCUGCUGUUUGCGUUGAUACGUCUUGUUGAAUUUCUCUUUGGCGAGGCAUCGCUGUUCCGCUCCGGGGUGUCCGUGCGCACGUGCUCCUAGAAGCGUACAGCAGACUUGAAGGACAUGUCUGGGCCGGUAAGAUACGAUGGCUGAAGCGAAAGGAGGAGGCGCGCUUCGAAAGAAAAAGGAC
rnacentral:misc_RNA from 1 species